GUGGAUUAGAUACCCUAGUAGUCCACGCCCUAAACGAUGUCAACUAGGUGUUGGGAGGGUUAAACCUUUUAGUACCGUAGCUAACGCGUGAAGUUGACCGCCUGGGGAGUACGGCCGCAAGGUUAAAACUCAAAGGAAUUGACGGGGACCCGCACAAGCGGUGGAUGAUGUGGAUUAAUUCGAUGCAACGCGAAAAACCUUACCUACCCUUGACAUGCCAGGAACUUGCCAGAGAUGGCUUGGUGCCCGAAAGGGAGCCUGGACACAGGUGCUGCACGGCCGUCGCCAGCU
rnacentral:rRNA from 1 species